GAGUUUGAUCUUGGCUCAGAUUGAACGCUGGCGGCAUGCCUUACACAUGCAAGUCGAACGGCAGCACGGGGGCAACCCUGGUGGCGAGUGGCGAACGGGUGAGUAAUGCAUCGGAACGUGCCCAGUAGUGGGGGAUAACCAGUCGAAAGAUUGGCUAAUACCGCAUACGACCUACGGGUGAAAAGCGGGGGAUCGCAAGACCUCGCGCAGUUGGAGCGGCCGAUGGCGGAUUAGCUAGUUGGUGGGGUAAAGGCCUACCAAGGCGACGAUCCGUAGCUGGUCUGAGAGGACGACCAGCCACACUGGAACUGAGACACGGUCCAGACUCCUACGGGAGGCAGCAGUGGGGAAUUUUGGACAAUGGGGGCAACCCUGAUCCAGCCAUUCCGCGUGAGUGAAGAAGGCCUUCGG
rnacentral:rRNA from 1 species